AGUGAACGCUGGCGGUAGGCCUAACACAUGCAAGUCGAACGGCAGCACAGUAAGAGCUUGCUCUUACGGGUGGCGAGUGGCGGACGGGUGAGGAAUACAUCGGAAUCUACUUUUUCGUGGGGGAUAACGUAGGGAAACUUACGCUAAUACCGCAUACGACCUACGGGUGAAAGCAGGGGAUCCUCGGACCUUGCGCGAUUGAAUGAGCCGAUGUCGGAUUAGCUAGUCGGCGAGGUAAAGGCCCACCAAGGCGACGAUCCGUAGCUGGUCUGAGAGGAUGAUCAGCCACACUGGAACUGAGACACGGUCCAGACUCCUACGGGAGGCAGCAGUAGGGAAUAUUGGGCAAUGGGCGAAAGCCUGAUCGAGCCAUACCGCUUGGGUGAAGAAGGCCUUCGGGUUGUAAAGCCCUUUUGUUGGGAAAGAAAAGAAGCAGGUUAAUACGCCGCUGUUCUGACGGUACCCAAAGAAUAAGCACCGGCUAACUUCGUG
rnacentral:rRNA from 1 species